rnacentral:tRNA from 1 species
GCCCAGGUGGCGAAAUUGGUAGACGCACUACGUUCAGGUCGUAGCGCCUUCGGGUGUGCUGGUUCGAGUCCAGUUCUGGGUA